rnacentral:rRNA from 1 species
CUACAGCUACAUACCACCCUGAAUGCGUCCAAUCUCGUCUGAUCUCAGAAGCUAAGCAGGGUCGGACCUGGUUAGUACUUGGAUGGGAGAAACACUUGUGAAGUUCACAGUCCAGAAGUACA